rnacentral:misc_RNA from 1 species
UGAGUCUGAGAUGCUUCCGAAAUUGUCCUCUGGGGGAAAUUUUGUAGUGGAUCAACUUUUUCCAAAACCGCUGAGCAUUUUGGAUCAGAUAACUUCAUCAAAUAAGAAUGAGUAUCCCAAAGUUGUAGAAGGGCAUGAUGACAACAUUUCAUGUGUUAGUAGAUCUAAUGAUGUGAGUGUAGCAGUAAGUGAUCAUAACAAGAAUGUAGACAGGAGGAAUAUACCAUGUAAUUCAGCUUUAGUUAGUAGUUUAGGAUCAGAAGGAACUGGAAAGGCACCAAUUUCGCCCAAGUCAGAGGCACCUUCAGAUGAUGC